ACUAGUGCUGAGCACCUCCUGUGGGUUAGGAAGUUUCCUCCCUAGGCGUUCACACGGUCUGUUCACCACCACAGGGAACUCAAUCAGGACCCAGCUCCUCUAUGGCGCCGAGGACAGGAGAUUCUCUGCUGGGCGCCAGCUUUCAGCUGCACAGGUCUGCGGGGAGGAGGGAUGGGAGGAGGAGGACUUGCACAGGUUCCCAGGGAAGUGGGUGCCAUGGGUCACACUUUGAGAACCACUGCUUGAAGGACAGAAAGGAAAGAAAGAAAGGCAGGACCGUGGGGUUGAAUGUGCCAGCGGGCGCUGGUGACACAGCAAGGUGACCAGUCUGUAUACUGUUUCAAGAAAACAGAUGGAGGGGUCUCUGUCCCGAAUCAGAUCUGGUAGGUUGACGGUUAAACCAAAAAAGGCAGAACUACUCUGUUACUCAGAAGAAUCCCAGGAGACCUGGGUUUGUUCGUUUACUUGACAAAUAUGAAGUGCCCAAUCUGUGCCAAAGUUGCUGCUAGGCAACAGAGGCUCGGGCACUGCCAAAGGUCAUAUGAGAGCCUGGGUAGGUCACGGCCCCUGCAGCCUCAGUUACUGGCCUGUAAGGAGGUGACCGGCAUUCGGGGCCCCGCCUAACGUUCACACUGAAAAGGAAAGCCGUCACUGCUCAAAGCAAAAACACCCUGCGAGCUCUCUGGGCAGCACGAUGUGACACAGGAGUCUUGUUGCCCCAGGGGACACCUGUGACAGGGAAGAGGACCCGGCAGCAAUCUGGGCCCCCAGGCCCGGAUGGUCAGAGUCCAGUCCAAUUCCCCCAGUGCCCCAAUUAAAGGUGCGGCCAAGGUAAGUUAGCGCUGCGCCCGCCCGUACCGACUGAAGAGCACAAAACGGCGCCUCAGAGCUGCGCCGGACACUCGAGGGCCAACACAACUGUGACACGACCAGGGGCUGCAGCGGCCCCACCGUCUAGCAACGCUCACCAUUCCACCUGUGGGGGACGAGCAGGCAGUGAACAGUUCUAAGUCCCUCCAAAGCUGGUGUUUGUUUUGGCUGGGAUUCAUUUUGUGUGGGCCGGGAACAAAGCCAGGCCCCCAGCAGCUCUCGGCACGGUGGUGGAAGGGGACCCUUUACUGAAGUGGGUUUCAACGUGGAGAGAUGGACAGAGCACCCGAUGGGGAAAGGUGUACGCCACGGGGAGAAGAAAACAGUGAAUAAAGGACCUGACUGGAGCCAAAAAAACAGGGCACAGGACAGAGGGCAAGGCAGUCACGGGGGCCCGGCUGGUCUCUGGGCGGGGAGCCUGGACCGGCCCUGCGCAGCAGGGCACCCAGACAGGUGGUGCAGUGAGGGGUGGCAGCGAGGGACCCGGCACUACCCAUCCACGCAAAGCACACCCAGCACUCCUGCUGGUUGACAGGGCUGCUCCGUGACAACAGCGCGGUGGAAAGCAACCAGGACGUUUACGUCACGCAUGUCGUUUCAGCUGAGUUUACAACGCCAAGCUCGCUGGCUGUGGAAACCAGGGCAGCCAAUAACAGACUGCCAGCCACAUUGUCACUCGGGGGCCCCUGGUGAGCUCAGGCAGUUUUCCAUCUGCCUAGACAAACAAACAGGCUGCCAGGGUUAUGGACAAGGGGCUCCUGUGGCGCCAGGGACCAGGUUGUCAGCACUGCGAGUGGAGAGAGCAGACACCCAGAUCCACUCUGCUCAGCACCGUGGCCCCUUCUUCCCCACGGGCUGCUCACCUGGCCCAGGAGUGAAGUCAGUGGUGAAUGAAAGCAGGUAAAGGGACUCCAGGCAGGGAGCAUCCUGCCAUAAAACCGGGGACGAGCUCUGGGAGCGCAUCUUGUUUUGGAAGUGCUGGGGGUGGAACCCAGGGCCUUUAUGCUGAGCUACACUCCCAGCCCUCUUUCUUUUUAAUCUUAAGAUAAAGUCUUGAUAAGUUGCUAGAUCACACAGGCUGGGAUGGUCCUGUCUCGGCCUCACUGAGUCCGAGGAUUACAGAUGUGUGCACCACACCUGGCUCAAAGCACCCAUCUUUGAGGGUGAGCCCAACACAGGUCCAGAAAACAGCUGUGCUGUUUCUGAGGGCCAGACAUCUCCAAGAAAGCCCACAAUUAAUUGCUCUGUUCUCCUAGAGUUCUAUAAAAUAGAAAGCUUGUCCCUCACUAACUGGCCAGUUAAUUACUCAGCUGC